CUGACUGUAGCGAAUAAUUUAAAUAUUUAACACUCUCAGUAUCAGUGCUUUUACCUUCUUAAAGUUCUCUUCAUCGUUUCUUCUUAUUUCUUCACAAGACUGGACCAAUAAAAUCGUUUGUGAAUCU